CCUACGGGAGGCUGCAGUAGGGAAUUUUGCGCAAUGGGCGAAAGCCUGACGCAGCAACACCGCGUGAGUGUUUAGCCCUUCGGGGUGUACAGUUCUGUCAAUACGGACGAAUUUUGACUGUACCUAUAAAGGACGCACCAGCUAACUCCGUGCCAGCAGCCGCGGUAAUACGGGGGGUGCAAGCGUUGUCCGGAAUCAUUGAGCGUAAAGCGUGCGUAGGCGGCAAGGUAAGUCUGAUGUUAAAGCCCGGGGCUCAACUCCGGUUCGGCAUGGGAUACUAUCUAGCUAGAAUGUGGUAGAGGUAAAGGGAAUUCCUGGUGUAGCGGUGAAAUGCGUAGAUAUCAGGAGGAACAUCAGUGGCGAAGGCGCUUUACUGGACCAUUAUUGACGCUGAGGAACGAAAGCCAGGGGAGCAAAUGGGAUUAGAUACCCGGGUAGUC
rnacentral:rRNA from 1 species